ACCCCGGGAAACUGGGAUAAUUCCGGAUAACGCACAUAUGCUGAAAUGCUUUAUGCGUAAAAUGGAUUCGUCUGCCCAAGGAUGGGUCUGCGGCCUAUCAGGUAGUAGUGGGUGUAAUGUACCUACUAGCCUACAACGGGUACGGGUUGUGAGAGCAAGAGCCCGGAGAUGGAUUCUGAGACAUGAAUCCAGGCCCUACGGGGCGCAGCAGGCGCGAAAACCUUACAAUGCGGGAAACCGUGAUAAGGGGACACCGAGUGCUAGCAUCAUAUGCUGGCUGUCCAGGUGUGUAAAAUACACUUGUUAGCAAGGGCCGGGCAAGACCGGUGCCAGCCGCCGCGGUAACACCGGCGGCCCGAGUGGUGAUCGUGAUUAUUGGGUCUAAAGGGUCCGUAGCCGGUUUGGUCAGUCCUCCGGGAAAUCUGAUAGCUCAACUAUUAGGCUUUCGGGGGAUACUGCCAGACUUGGAACCGGGAGAGGUAAGAGGUACUACAGGGGUAGGAGUGAAAUCUUGUAAUCCCUGUGGGACCACCUGUGGCGAAGGCGUCUUACCAGAACGGGUUCGACGGUGAGGGACGAAGGCUGGGGGCACGAACCGGAUUAGAUACCCGGGUAGUCCCAGCCGUAAACGAUGCUCGCUAGGUGUCAGGCAUGGCGCGACCGUGUCUGGUGCCGCAGGGAAGCCGUGAAGCGAGCCACCUGGGAAGUACGGCCGCAAGGCUGAA
rnacentral:rRNA from 1 species